GCCGUCAUGCGCGCAGCUGACGGAGCACGCCGCGUGAGGGAUGAAGGCCUCUGGGCUGUAAACCUCUUUUAUCAAGGAAGAAGAUCUGACGGUACUUGAUGAAUAAGCCACGGCUAAUUCCGUGCCAGCAGCCGCGGUAAUACCC
rnacentral:rRNA from 1 species